rnacentral:rRNA from 1 species
AGAUUGAACGCUGGCGGCAUGCCUUACACAUGCAAGUCGAACGGCAGCACGGGGGUAACCCUGGUGGCGAGUGGCGAACGGGUGAGUAAUACAUCGGAACGUGUCCUGUAGUGGGGGAUAGCCCGGCGAAAGCCGGAUUAAUACCGCAUACGAUCUACGGAAGAAAGCGGGGGAUCCUUCGGGACCUCGCGCUAUAGGGGCGGCCGAUGGCAGAUUAGCUAGUUGGUGGGGUAAAGGCCUACCAAGGCGACGAUCUGUAGCUGGUCUGAGAGGACGACCAGCCACACUGGGACUGAGACACGGCCCAGACUCCUACGGGAGGCAGCAGUGGGGAAUAUUGGACAAUGGGCGCAAGCCUGAUCCAGCAAUGCCGCGUGAGUGAUGAAGGCCUUAGGGUUGUAAAGCUCUUUCGCCCGCGACGAUGAUGACGGUAGCGGGAGAAGAGCCCCGGCUAACUUCGCGCCAGCAGCCGCGGU